AGGAAAAAAAUAUUUAUCAUAUUUAGGUCCAAUUUCAUCAACGACUGUUCAAGUUAAUGCUCGAAUUAGUAUCACGUUUUCUCUUUCAUUUUUCAUAUGAAUGAUAGAAA